rnacentral:rRNA from 1 species
UACGUAGGUGGCGAGCGUUGUCCGGAAUUACUGGGCGUAAAGGGCGCGUAGGCGGAUAUUUAAGUCAGAUGUGAAAAACUCCGGGCUCAACUUGGAGAUUGCAUUUGAAACUGGGUAUCUUGAGGACAGGAGGGGAAAGUGGAAUUCCUAGUGGAGCGGUAAAAUGCGCAGAUAUUAGGAGGAACACCGGUGGCGAAGGCGACUUUCUGGCUGACAACUGACGCUGAGGCGCGAAAGCGUGGGGAGCAAACAGGAUUAGAUACCCGUGUAGUCCCU